GAUGAACGCUGGCGGCGUGCCUAAUACAUGCAAGUCGAGCGAACGGACGAGAAGCUUGCUUCUCUGAUGUUAGCGGCGGACGGGUGAGUAACACGUGGAUAACCUACCUAUAAGACUGGGAUAACUUCGGGAAACCGGAGCUAGUACCGGAUAAUAUUUUGAACCGCAUGGUUCAAAAGUGAAAGACGGUCUUGCUGUCACUUAUAGAUGGAUCCGCGCUGCAUUAGCUAGUUGGUAAGGUAACGGCUUACCAAGGCAACGAUGCAUAGCCGACCUGAGAGGGUGAUCGGCCACACUGGAACUGAGACACGGUCCAGACUCCUACGGGAGGCAGCAGUAGGGAAUCUUCCGCAAUGGGCGAAAGCCUGACGGAGCAACGCCGCGUGAGUGAUGAAGGUCUUCGGAUCGUAAAACUCUGUUAUUAGGGAAGAACAUAUGUGUAAGUAACUGUGCACAUCUUGACGGUACCUAAUCAGAAAGCCACGGCUAACUACGUGCCAGCAGCCGCGGUAAUACGUAGGUGGCAAGCGUUAUCCGGAAUUAUUGGGCGUAAAGCGCGCGUAGGCGGUUUUUUAAGUCUGAUGUGAAAGCCCACGGCUCAACCGUGGAGGGUCAUUGGAAACUGGAAAACUUGAGUGCAGAAGAGGAAAGUGGAAUUCCAUGUGUAGCGGUGAAAUGCGCAGAGAUAUGGAGGAACACCAGUGGCGAAGGCGACUUUCUGGUCUGUAACUGACGCUGAUGUGCGAAAGCGUGGGGAUCAAACAGGAUUAGAUACCCUGGUAGUCCACGCCGUAAACGAUGAGUGCUAAGUGUUAGGGGGUUUCCGCCCCUUAGUGCUGCAGCUAACGCAUUAAGCACUCCGCCUGGGGAGUACGACCGCAAGGUUGAAACUCAAAGGAAUUGACGGGGACCCGCACAAGCGGUGGAGCAUGUGGUUUAAUUCGAAGCAACGCGAAGAACCUUACCAAAUCUUGACAUCCUUUGACAACUCUAGAGAUAGAGCCUUCCCCUUCGGGGGACAAAGUGACAGGUGGUGCAUGGUUGUCGUCAGCUCGUGUCGUGAGAUGUUGGGUUAAGUCCCGCAACGAGCGCAACCCUUAAGCUUAGUUGCCAUCAUUAAGUUGGGCACUCUAAGUUGACUGCCGGUGACAAACCGGAGGAAGGUGGGGAUGACGUCAAAUCAUCAUGCCCCUUAUGAUUUGGGCUACACACGUGCUACAAUGGACAAUACAAAGGGCAGCGAAACCGCGAGGUCAAGCAAAUCCCAUAAAGUUGUUCUCAGUUCGGAUUGUAGUCUGCAACUCGACUACAUGAAGCUGGAAUCGCUAGUAAUCGUAGAUCAGCAUGCUACGGUGAAUACGUUCCCGGGUCU
rnacentral:rRNA from 1 species